rnacentral:rRNA from 1 species
AUUGAACGCUGGCGGCAGGCCUAACACAUGCAAGUCGAACGAGUGGCGGACGGGUGAGUAAUGUCUGGGAAACUGCCCGAUGGAGGGGGAUAACUACUGGAAACGGUAGCUAAUACCGCAUACCAUCGGAUGUGCCCAGAUGGGAUUAGCUUGUAGGUGAGGUAACGGCUCACCUAGGCGACGAUCCCUAGCUGGUCUGAGAGGAUGACCAGACACACUGGGAUUGAGAAACGGUCCAGACUCGUACGGGAGGUGGCAGGUGGGAAUAUUGUACGAUGAGCGCAAGCCUGAUGCAGCCAUGCCGCGGGUAGGAAGAAGGCCUUCGGGUUGUAAAGUACUUUCAGCGAGGAGGCGUUACCAGCAGAAGAAGCACCGGCUAACUCCGUGCCAGCAGCCGCGGUAAUUC